rnacentral:rRNA from 1 species
UGUCUCCUUUUUCUGAUCAGUUAAACUAAUCUCCCCGUGAAGAAGCGGGGAUAUUAAUAUAAGACGAGAAGACCCCAUGGAGCUUAAACCCUAAUACACCCCUAAUUCUCAUAUCCUCAUAACCCCUAGGACCCUGUAUAAUCGGUUUAGGUUGGGGCGACCACGGAGUACAACAAAACCUCCAUAAUGAAUGGGACCAACCCCUUAUUUAAGAGCUACCCCUCUAAAAAUUAAAACAUUAACAUAAAAUGAUCCUUUUUUUGAUCAAUGAACCAAGUUACCCUGGGGAUAACAGCGCAAUCCAUUUCAAGAGCCCUUAUCGACAAAUGGGUUUACGACCUCGAUGUUGGAUCAGGGUAUCNCAGUGGUGCAGCAGCUACUAAUGGUUCGUUUGUUCAACGAUCGGAAGNG